UACAGAGGUCCCGAGCGUUGUUCGGAUUCAUUGGGCGUAAAGGGUGCGUAGGCGGCGGGGCAAGUCUGAUGUGAAAUCCUGGGGCUCAACCCCAGAACUGCGUCUGAUACUGGACGGCUUGAGUUCGGGAGAGGGAAGUGGAAUUCCAGGUGUAGCGGUGAAAUGCGUAGAUAUCUGGAGGAACACCGGUGGCGAAGGCGGCUCACUGGCCCGAUACUGACGCUGAGGUGCGAAAGCGUGGGGAGCAAACAGG
rnacentral:rRNA from 1 species